ensembl:lncRNA novel transcript
GUCCCCACUCUGUCAAGCCCAGGGAAAGGCGUGGGGUCAGAGGAUUUGGCUCUGUCACACCAUUCACUGCCUGCCCUUCUUCCCAGCGCUUCCAAGAUCUGGUUGUAUUAAACACGAGAAUGAAGAGAGGAAAACACCUUCGCCCACGGUGUGCUCUGGGGACAUCUCCAGGUGUGGGUGGUGGCGUCAGCCACAGGACAGACAGAGUCUGCAACAUGUGCCUCCCGAGUUCAUGCCAUUCUCCUGCCUCAGUCUCCGGAGUAGCUGGGAUUACAGGUGCCCGCCACCACGCCUGGCUGAUUUUUGUAUUUUUAGUAGAGACAGGGUUUCACCAUGUUGGCCAGGCUGGUCUCAAACUGCUGACCUCAUGAUCUGCCUGCCUUGGCCUCCCAAAGUGCUGGGAAUACAGAUGUGAGCCACUGCGCCCGGCCAAUUGUAGAACAUUUUCAUUACCCUCAAAAGAAACCUCAUACCAAUUAACUGUCAUUUUCCAUUUUCCCAUUGCCUAUUCCUAGGCAAUUGCUAAUCUGUUCUUGCCUCUAUAGAUUUGCCUCUUCUGGACAUUUCAUAUAAAUUGAAUUAUUCAUUAUGUGAUCAUCUUUUGUGACUGAUUUCUUUCACUUUGCAUAAUGUUGUCAAGGUCUAUCCAUUCUAGCAUGCAUCAAUACUUCAUUUCUUUUUAUUGCUGAAUUAUACUCCAUUGUAUACCAUAUUUUGUUUAUCCAUUCAUCAGUUGGUGGACAUUUGGGUUGUUUCUACUUUUUCGUUAUAAUGAAUAAUAUUGCUAAUAAACAUUCAGGUAAAAAUU